UUUCCCUCACACACGUAAGACUACCCGCUGAACUUAA
rnacentral:rRNA from 1 species